CUCGCUCACAUGGUUAUCUGCUGCUGCAGCUUCUGUUUCAACAUCUGCUGCUGCUCAGAGAGACGCUGUCACUGUGUCAUUUCCAGUAGCUUGCACGUUAAGCAUGUAUCGGAUGUUUUUGGGGUGUGCUUGGGCUCUUCUUGGAGGGACUUGAGCUGGUGGUUGAGAAAUGGAACUGCUGGUGGGAAAGUUGUAGGAUUCUGCAACUUGCUGCAGACCUUCAGAGACCUUUUUCAGGCAAGGGGGGAUUGAACAGCAUGCUGGCAUCUGUUCUCUGCUCUUUAACGUUGUUAUGAGGGGAAGUUCAAUGAGAAAUUGCAAGGUCUCCUGUUGAUCAAGGUCUGACGUUGAUCAAGCGAAUUACAGCAGAUAGAUGUGUUUUGAGGGAAACUGAAAGAGUGCACUUUGUCACCAGCUUAAACUAUUGAAGACAUGAGGAGGUUAUGCUGCCCUGUGGCAUAGGAUUUGCUAUUUUUUGAGAUAAAAGACAGGGGAAGUGGUAUUGUGGGUGAAAGUGCAGCAAGAGUAGUCAGAAAAAAGGGUGGUGACAGUACUUAGCGUUCAUAUACUGCUGUAGGAACACAGAUCCAACAUAUCGUGAUAAUAAUGUGUUUCCUAAGGAACAAUAAAUCUCUAGGAAAAGAGCAUAGUCCAGUGCAGUCUCAGAAACUUCACUAUUUUGGGGGAGAUCAAUUGAUUUAAACAGAAACGUGCAAACUGAGUAACUAAGUACAGAUGGCUGAAUUAAUUCAUGCAUUAAAAUGUUUCCCCUUGAGCAUGCAAAAGACUGUUCCUUGUCUUCACACAGCCAUUUAUGCUGAAUGAAAUGACAGUGGGAGACAGAGAGCUCCAACAUCAUCUUGGCCUGGACCUUAGGCCUCCUGCCUCCUGCUCUGAUUCCUGGGUUGCAGAUGAAGGCGGCAGAAACAAAGCUGCUCCCAAGCUCCAGAAGAAAGGCCAGAGCUUGAGUAUUUCUAGCAGUAAUUUCUCAAAACGGUGUUCAUUGUUGAUGAAUAUGUUGCAACGUCCAAAAAUGCAACGAGUGACUCAGAGAAUGAGAAGAGGAAAAAUAUAGCUUUUUAAUGAGGAUUCCUCAGCCAACUACAGAGUGUCCCCGUCAAGAAACCACUGUUCGACCAUGCAAAAGUCACCCAGUCCUUGCUUUUAUGUCUUUUCUGCGUGUGUUUGAAACAUAGUUGCACUUACUAUAUAUUUCCAUUUAUUCAUUUGCCCGAUAUUUUAUUUUUCUGUUUUAUAUUUACAGGGAUUACAACAUUCUGACAUCAAAACCAAACCAAAACCCACAGAACAACAUGUUUACAAAUAGUUCUGGAUUUUAUUUUUUGUGUACAUGUGUAAGAAAAGGAAAAGAGCAAAGGCUAAGUUUACCACUACUGGCGUAAUAACGUCUCUAAUAGUUUCAGACUGAGCUUCUAUUCUUAAAAAUUAUCCUUGCAAGGACUCUGCAGCAAAUAUAACCAUCAAGUUCAAGCAGCACAGCUCUGAAGGAGUGUAAUAGUAGGGGAUUACCUUGUGGGAUGGUGUCCAGUGCUGAUCUACUUCAAGAAUCGACAUUGACUUUCUUUCUGGAAAGAUUGUUUCUCAUUCUUGGAAAAUAUAACUUUUUCUUUCAUAUGUAUGUUUUUUAAUUUUAGCAGUAUUUGUCAGUUUCAGUUCACACCUGCUAUCCCCUCACACUUGUGUCUUUCUUUCACAAUAGCAGGAAACCUGUAUUUGCUUAAAAAAACCCAUUUUGAAUGCAAAUCCAUAGAAAUAGAUAGGUGACCUGAUACUUGUCUUUCAAAUCAGUUGCUCACCCAGGUGAUCAUUUCCUUUGGAAAGCUAAGGGUCUUGCAUAAUCUAACUGCAGUCUGUAUAACCAUGCAUGAUAUACAAUCAUAUACAAGAUAUAUAAAGUAUGUUUUUUAAUAAUUUUCAUGGCUGGUACACAUUGUGUGAAAAUUUGGGAUAAAACCAUCAUGUUGCUGUGCUCUUGCUGGUUCUCUGGGGAUAUCCAGUAAUUAUAACCAUACAAAAAUGAGGUAAUUUUGGCUUUGCUCAUUGCAAAUAUGUUGUAUUGAGGUGUUCUGUAUAUAAAAUAGCAUUACCAUUACAGUGUAUAACUAUACGUGGGCAUUAAUUAGAACUACACUAUCUUCUGCCUUGUUUCAGAAACUGAUUGUGUCUUUUCAAACAGUGAGCUC
ensembl:lncRNA